rnacentral:ncRNA from 1 species
ACGGGUCUCCGGAGAAGUCCGCACCUGAUGCGGAGGCCGAAGGGGCAAGAAGAUUUCGAAACUCUCAGGCAAAAGGACGGAGAAU